rnacentral:rRNA from 1 species
CCUACGGGAGGCAGCAGUGGGGAAUAUUGCACAAUGGGGGCAACCCUGAUGCAGCGACGCCGCGUGAGUGAAGAAGUAUUUCGGUAUGUAAAGCUCUAUCAGCAGGGAAGCAAAUGACGGUACCUGAUUCAGAAGCCCCGGCUAACUACGUGCCAGCAGCCGCGGUAAUCCGUAGGGGGCCAGCGUUAUCCGGAUUUACUGGGUGUAAAGGGGGCGUAGACGGCAGCACAAGUCUGGAGGGAAAUGCCGGGGCUUAACCCCGGAACUGCCUUGGAAACUGGGCAGCUAGAGUGAAGGAGAGGUAAGUGGAAUGCGUGGUGUAGCGGUGAAAUGCGUAGAUAUCACGAGGAACACCAGUGGCGAAGGCAGCUUACUGGACUGUAACUGACGUUGAGGCUCGAAAGCGUGGGGAGCAAACAGGAUUAGAUACCCCGGUAGUC